UACGAAGGGGGCUAGCGUUGCUCGGAAUCACUGGGCGUAAAGGGUGCGUAGGCGGGUCUUUAAGUCAGGGGUGAAAUCCUGGAGCUCAACUCCAGAACUGCCUUUGAUACUGAGGAUCUUGAGUACGGGAGAGGUGAGUGGAACUGCGAGUGUAGAGGUGAAAUUCGUAGAUAUUCGCAAGAACACCAGUGGCGAAGGCGGCUCACUGGCCCGUAACUGACGCUGAGACUCGAAAGCGUGGGGAGCAAACAGG
rnacentral:rRNA from 1 species